rnacentral:rRNA from 1 species
UACGAAGGGUGCAAACGUUGCUCGGAAUUAUUGGGCGUAAAGCGCACGUAGGCGGCUUUGCAAGUCGGAUGUGAAAUCCCUCGGCUUAACCAAGGAAGUGCAUCCGAAACUGCAGAGCUUGAGUACUUAAGAGGAUCGCGGAGUUCCCGGUGUAGAGGUGAAAUUCGUAGAUAUCGGGAGGAACACCAGUGGCGAAGGCGGCGAUCUGGGAAGAUACUGACGCUGAGGUGCGAAAGCGUGGGGAGCAAACAGG